GGCGAACGGGUGAGUAACACGUGAGCAAUCUGCCCUGGACUCUGGGAUAACCCCGAGAAAUCGGAGCUAAUACCGGAUACGACACCUCCCGGCAUCGGGUGGGUGUGGAAAGAAUUUCGGUCCAGGAUGAGCUCGCGGCCUAUCAGCUUGUUGGUGAGGUAACGGCUCACCAAGGCGACGACGGGUAGCCGGCCUGAGAGGGUGACCGGCCACACUGGGACUGAGACACGGCCCAGACUCCUACGGGAGGCAGCAGUGGGGAAUAUUGCACAAUGGGCGCAAGCCUGAUGCAGCAACGCCGCGUGGGGGACGAAGGCCUUCGGGUUGUAAACCUCUUUUAGUAGGGAAGAAGCGCAAGUGACGGUACCUACAGAAAAAGCACCGGCUAACUACGUGCCAGCAGCCGCGGUAAUACGUAGGGUGCAAGCGUUGUCCGGAAUUAUUGGGCGUAAAGAGCUC
rnacentral:rRNA from 1 species